UGGGGAAUUUUGGACAAUGGGCGAAAGCCUGAUCCAGCAAUGCCGCGUGUGUGAAGAAGGCCUUCGGGUUGUAAAGCACUUUUGUCCGGAAAGAAAUCCUUGGCUCUAAUACAGUCGGGGGAUGACGGUACCGGAAGAAUAAGCACCGGCUAACUACGUGCCAGCAGCCGCGGUAAUACGUAGGGUGCAAGCGUUAAUCGGAAUUACUGGGCGUAAAGCGUGCGCAGGCGGUUUGCUAAGACCGAUGUGAAAUCCCCGGGCUCAACCUGGGAACUGCAUUGGUGACUGGCAGGCUAGAGUAUGGCAGAGGGGGGUAGAAUUCCACGUGUAGCAGUGAAAUGCGUAGAGAUGUGGAGGAAUACCGAUGGCGAAGGCAGCCCCCUGGGCCAAUACUGACGCUCAUGCACGAAAGCGUGGGGAGCAAACAGGAUUAGAUACCCUGGUAGUCCACGCCCUAAACGAUGUCAACUAGUUGUUGGGGAUUCAUUUCCUUAGUAACGUAGCUAACGCGUGAAGUUGACCGCCUGGGGAGUACGGUCGCAA
rnacentral:rRNA from 1 species